rnacentral:rRNA from 1 species
GCAUAUCAAUAAGCGGAGGAAAAGAAAAAUUACUAUGGUUCCCCUUAGUAACUGGGAGGAAAGAGGGGCCAUGUUCAAAUUUUUAAUGAGAUAGGUUCUUCCUGACCGAGUUGUAAUUUAAGAAGGCGUUUUUCUGUUAUUCUGAUCAAUCCAAGUCGUUGGGAUAAAGGCAUCACGUGAGGGUGAGAAUCCCGUUCGGUUGAUCAGGUCACUUUACGAUACGUCAUCAAAGAGUCAAGUUGUUUGGGAUUGCAGCUUAAAAUGGGAGGUAAAUUUCUCCUAAGGCUAAAUAACGGCGAGAGACCGAUAGCGAACAAGUACCGUGAGGGAAAGAUGGAAAGAACUUUGAAAAGAGAGUUAAACAGUACGUGAAAUUGUUGAAAGGGAAACGAUUAAAGCCAGUCGUACAGGCGGGUAAUCAGCCUUUUGGGUGUGAUUAUGUGGAACGUGAGGAGUUUAAUCGCCUUCAUGCCUGCAUAUUCGUGCACUUUGGGUGUACUUGCUCGUGUUGGUAGGUUAACAUCAAUUUCGAUCAUCAUAAAAUGAUUGGGGGAAUGUAGCUUCGAUCUCGUGUUGAAGUGUUAUAGACUCUGGUAGAUGUGAUGAUCGGGAUUGAGGAUUGCAACGGAUACCCUUAUGGGCUACCCGUCUGAUCUCUGAGAGUUACUCUGGUGCCGAAAGCGUGCUUACGGUAUCAAAAUUGACGUUCAAUAGGUUAGAACGGGUUAAAUUCCUUUAUAUGUUGACGUAAUGGCUUUAAACGAC